UACGUAGGCAGCGAGCGUUGUUCGGAGUUACUGGGCGUAAAGGGUGUGUAGGCGGUUGUUUAAGUUUGGUGGGAAAUCUCCCGGCUCAACUGGGAGGGUGCGCCGAAUACUGAAUGACUUGGAGUGCGGGAGAGGUGAGUGGAAUUCCUGGUGUAGCGGUGAAAUGCGUAGAUAUCAGGAGGAACACCGGUGGUGUAGACGGCUCACUGGACCGUAACUGACGCUGAGACACGAAAGCGUGGGUAGCAAACAGG
rnacentral:rRNA from 1 species